GUUGUAGUCUGGAGAAGUGCUUUCCGCGCUGGACCGUGUAUAAGUCUCUUGGAACAGAGCGUCAUAGAGGGUGAGAAUCCCGUCUUUGACACGGACUACCAGUGCUUUGUGAUGCGCUCUCGAAGAGUCGAGUUGUUUGGGAAUGCAGCUCAAAAUGGGUGGUAAAUUCCAUCUAAAGCUAAAUAUUGGCGAGAGACCGAUAGCGAACAAGUACCGUGAGGGAAAGAUGAAAAGCACUUUGGAAAGAGAGUUAAACAGUACGUGAAAUUGCUGAAAGGGAAACGCUUGAAGUCAGUCGCGUUGUUUGGAACUCAGCCUUGCUCUUGCAUGGUGCAAUUUCUGUACAACGGGCCAGCAUCGAUUUUGACCGCCGGAUAAGGGUUGAAGGAAUGUGGCACCUUCGGGUGUGUUAUAGCCUUCAGUCGCAUACGGCGGUUGGGAUCGAGGAACGCAGCGCGCCGCAAGGCAGGGGGUUAGCCCACUUUCGCGCUUAGGAUGCUGGCAUAAUGGCUUUAAACGACCCGUCUUGAAACACGGACCAAGGAGUCUAACAUACCUGCGAGUGUUUGGGUGGAAAACCCGAGCGCGUAAUGAAAGUGAAAGUUGGGACCUCUGUCGUGGAGGGCACCGACGCCCGGAGCCGACGUUCUCUGACGCAUCCGCGGUUGAGC
rnacentral:rRNA from 1 species